GAACUUUCCAGAGAUGGAUUGGUGCCUUCGGGAACUGUGAGACAGGUGCUGCAUGGCUGUCGUCAGCUCGUGUUGUGAAAUGUUGGGUUAAGUCCCGCAACGAGCGCAACCCUUAUCCUUUGUUGCCAGCGGUCCGGCCGGGAACUCAAAGGAGACUGCCAGUGAUAAACUGGAGGAAGGUGGGGAUGACGUCAAGUCAUCAUGGCCCUUACGACCAGGGCUACACACGUGCUACAAUGGCGCAUACAAAGAGAAGCGACCUCGCGAGAGCAAGCGGACCUCAUAAAGUGCGUCGUAGUCCGGAUUGGAGUCUGCAACUCGACUCCAUGAAGUCGGAAUCGCUAGUAAUCGUGGAUCAGAAUGCCACGGUGAAUACGUUCCCGGGCCUUGUACACACCGCCCGUCACACCAUGGGAGUGGGUUGCAAAAGAAGUAGGUAGCUUAACCUUCGGGAGGGCGCUUACCACUUUGUGAUUCAUGACUGGGGUGAAGUCGUAACAAGGUAACCGUAGGGGAACCUGCGGUUGGAUC
rnacentral:rRNA from 1 species